rnacentral:rRNA from 1 species
UACGUAGGGUCCGAGCGUUGUCCGGAAUUACUGGGCGUAAAGAGCUCGUAGGUGGUUUGUCGCGUUGUUCGUGAAAACUCACAGCUCAACUGUGGGCGUGCGGGCGAUACGGGCAGACUUGAGUACUGCAGGGGAGACUGGAAUUCCUGGUGUAGCGGUGGAAUGCGCAGAUAUCAGGAGGAACACCGGUGGCGAAGGCGGGUCUCUGGGCAGUAACUGACGCU